rnacentral:lncRNA from 1 species
CAAGACGGAGCACUGGACAUCUCAGCUCGACUCACUGUAUUCAAAAAAGGAGAGAGGUCCCGGCGGAUGGCCUCCACUUUAGAUUUUAAAAAUGCUGCAAAUUGGUCCGGUGUAAAACUAGGGGGAGGCCUAUCACCCGGGCCAAUUCCGGAUAGGUCACGUACUAUACGGAAUAAUUCCGCCUGCUGAUUGGAUGCCUCGCUUAUCCGGUUCGCGAGGUAUGUUCGACUGGCAGCCUUUACCUUGGCCUGGUAAAGGUUAGUAGCGACCUUAACAGCUAUAUGAUUAAAAACCGUCGGGUCCUUUCUCCAUUUGCGCUCUAGCCGUCUCCUGACCCGCUUCGACGUCCGGAGAUCCUGGUUAAACCAGGGCGCUGGGCGGUCUCUGCGGCGGAGAGGGCGUACCGCCUCAUAGCGCUGAAAGCACUCGCUGGGUGGUUGACAAUUUAAUCAUGUAGGGUGUCCCUGGCCCCCACCCCCAGCAAGCGAGGUCCUCGAUUUACCCACCUUGGAAGGAUGGGAGGCUGAGUGAACCUUGAGCUGGCUCCCUGGGAUUGAACCCUGGGUCGUGAGCAGAGUUUUCACCGCAGGACGCGCAGUUGAACCCUUGUGCCACGAAGCUCAUUAUCUCGGAGCCAGGAGACUUUGGAUCCGCUGGAAACGUGCAUGAUCCCUGUUUGGCGCAAGCCCAGGAAAACAGCAGCCAAGUGCCCUGGGUGAACGUCCCGGCCGGAUCAGCACAGCCAGGCCUCCCCCCUUUUUGGUAGCAGCAGCUGCAUUUGCUAUUCAGAGCAACAGCUGCGAGCCGAAGCAAAGCAGCAAGGGACAGCUCCAUUUGCCUAUGAGGAAAUAUCUCAUGAAGGGCCUCAGGUUGGCUCAUAAAAAUAACCCUCCCGUCCAGCCCGUGGCUGCAUUUGGAGAGAGGCUGUGGCCCGGAGAGCAGACGCGUGGGCGCCUCUCCCAAUUAAAAGUGGCACCGGAUUUGACAAGUCUAUCAUCCCUUUUAUUCGUAAUCCUUGAGGUUUACGAAUUAACGUGGCUUCUUAAAGCUGUUUGGGUCCCUUCAUCGUGGCUCGGAGAGAACAAGCCGUCUUGCAGAGGACUUCUUCGUGGAAAUAGGUCCCCCAAAGCAAUUCCUCCCUCUCUGUUCUUCAGACGUCCGCUUGGAGUAACCGGAUGUUUGCUUUCUGGGACUGAAUGGGACUAGAAAGAAAAAAACAGGAGUCUGAAUGAACAUCAACGCCUCUGUCUUAGCAAACGCAUGACUCCCCGUCUCACGGACGAGGGAAAAGGACGUUGCCUGCCGACAGGUUCCCCUCUGCGUUCCGGAUCGUGUCAAAAGACCUCUUGUUUCGGAAGGGGUU